GACGAACGCUGGCGGCGUGCUUAACACAUGCAAGUCGAACGGAAAGGCCCUGCUUUUGUGGGGUUCUCGAGUGGCGAACGGGUGAGUAACACGUGAGUAACCUGCCCUUGACUUUGGGAUAACUUCAGGAAACUGGGGCUAAUACCGGAUAGGAGCUCCUGCUGCAUGGUGGGGGUUGGAAAGUUUCGGCGGUUGGGGAUGGACUCGCGGCUUAUCAGCUUGUUGGUUGGGUAGUGGCUUACCCAGGCUUUGACGGGUAGCCGGCCUGUGAGGGUGACCGGCCACAUGGGGACUGAGAUACGGACCAGACUCCUACGGGAGGCAGAAGUGGGGAAUAUGGCACAAUGGGCGGAAGCCUGAUGCAGAAACGCCGCGUGCGGGAUGACGGCCUUCGGGGUGUAAACAGCUUUCGCCUGUGACGAAGCGUGAGUGACGGUAAUGGGUAAAGAAGCACCGGCUAACUACGUG
rnacentral:rRNA from 1 species